rnacentral:rRNA from 1 species
GCUGGCGGCAGGCCUAACACAUGCAAGUCGAGCGGAUGAAGGGAGCUUGCUCCUGGAUUCAGCGGCGGACGGGUGAGUAAUGCCUAGGAAUCUGCCUGGUAGUGGGGGAUAACGUCCGGAAACGGGCGCUAAUACCGCAUACGUCCUGAGGGAGAAAGUGGGGGAUCUUCGGACCUCACGCUAUCAGAUGAGCCUAGGUCGGAUUAGCUAGUUGGUGGGGUAAAGGCCUACCAAGGCGACGAU